GCGUCCGCGCGCUCGCUCGUGGCGACAUAAACAAGGGAGGAGGCUGCGUUCUUCCCCGCACAAUAAAGGCGCGGGUCCGGGGGAGGCCGCCCUCCCGGAGCCGCCGAGGCAAGGCCCGACCGCGGCCCGCGAAGCGCGCGGCUGACCUCCGCCAUGUUGGCCGUACACCGGGCCACACAACAAAGACUGAGCGAGGGCGCGGGCCGUAGUCUCGGCGCGCCCGCCCGCCCUCCGCCUCCCGGAGCCGCCGCUGUCGGCUGGGCCCGCCCGGAGAGGCCGAGACAAAGGCGCCGCGGCUCCGCGAGGGGACCCGCCGGCCCUCCCCGGGCCGCGGCCAGCUCCUCCCUCCAGGCCGCCCGCUUACCUGUGGGCGGAGAGCGCGCCGCGGACCCCGGCCCCGUCUAACGCGCCCGGUCGCCAGCUGCCGCCGCCGCCACCGCCACCGCCACCGUCACCGCCGCCACCGCGGGCCGCGCCUCCACCUCUCCCGGCACCGAGACCGACGGGACACCCUGGGCCGCCGCCCUCGAGAGCGCGCCCGCCCGGCAGCCCGGCUUCCCUGCCGCCGCCGCCGCCGCCCCGCGCGCUCUCGAGCUCGCCGCGCGCGCCCGCUAAGUACCACACACUGCGGCGGCCGCCAUGAGCGGGAGCGCGCACCGAACCCGGCUGGGCGGGGCUUCCCACGGCCACGCACGCGCAGAAGCGGCUGGCGGCUGCUGCCCGCACUCGGUGGCGGUUGGCGUCGAGACGCUUCGGUUACCGGAGCAGCGUCCCGAGCAUCCCCACGAGGCGGCUGCGCUGUCUCGGGCCGUUACUGUGGGAUUGACUGGGUUCGCGCCGUCCUCUCUCCGGGUCCGCGGUCUGUAGCGGCCUCCACGACCCCACUCCUGGAGGAGAAGAGGGCCGCGCCUCCCGGUAGGCUCGUUGAAAGCUGGCCAGUAAGAAGCACGCCUUUAAGUCCACUUUCCCACUCAUCUGGGAAGCUGAUGUUGGGGACUGUCCACCCUGCUGCUUUAGGUUAAAAAACGGAGCCGUGCACUAGGCAAGCAGAAGCAGGAUCUUCACAAGUUUGGGGCCAGUCUGGUUUAUACAGAGUUUUCUGGGACUUCCCGGGGAGACCUUUUAUCCAAAAUAAAUGAAGACCUCAUCUCAAGGGUUACGGGUGCUUUCGUGAGGAGUGGUUGCCUGGGCUGAGACUCAGUCCCCAGUUGCGAGUGAAGGGGUAGAAACCUUUAGAUUUGAUUCUGGGGUGUGGGAUUGUGUGGAGGUCAGAGGACGAGUUGCGAGUGCUGGGGGUGGAGCGCAAGUGGCCAGCCUUGGUGGCAGGGCCUCUGCUGAGCCAUCUCGCAGAGUCCCCGUUAGUCUUUCCAUGGAUGCCUCUGUCUGACUAGGUUAACCGAAUGUAAGGCGUUUACAAAUCCUGAGCAGAUUUUCAGGGAAGAACUGUAGAAAUGCAAUGCUGUGAGAAAAGUACUUUUUCUAUGGGGUUUCAAGAAAGGAAGAAAAGUCUCCUCUCAGCCUUCCAUCAGCACAAACUCCGCCCUCUUCCAGAACUCAAAUUUGUUCUCAAUGAAUGUUCAGCUUUCCUCAAUGUAUUUGUAAUCUGUGCUUGUGUUGAUAUUUCUAUUCUCGAUCUAGUAUCUCACUGUAGCCCUUCCUCUGAGACCAUUAGCACAACCAAACAGUUGAGAAUGUAAAUUAAUUAAGUUAAAAGCACCAUAUACUACAAAUCUGUUGGUCCCCAAAGCUCAACAGCCAGAUAAGGAGCUUGCAUUAUGUAGGUUCAUGAAGAUUGUCGAUAUUAGUGGUGUUCUUGUUCAUUUAAAAUACUUGAUUUACAUAGGGAGUCUAAGAUAACCCAUCAUAAACUCUGCUUUGUCAUGAAACUUACCAAGUAGGAAGUCAUACAUUCACUCUCAUAUUCGUUGGACAAAUGAUAAUUAUCAACUAGUCCUGAGAAUACUAAAUCAUCAACUAGUCCUGAGGAUAUUAAUCAUCAACUAGUCCUGAGAAACUAAGCUAGGCACUUAAGUAUUAUCUAGCAGGAGACACAAAUAUAAACUUACUGCUACCACUGUGAGAGAAAAAAUUCCCAAAACAAGUGCCUGGUACUAAUGAAAUAUCUAACUCAAGUGUGUGAGAACACAGGUGUCUACCACAAAACCAAAAGACAAGAAGCAAUUAACAAGAUUGGGGGAAGGCUGUAAAAGGUAGAGACAUUAAGGAAGUAGAAAAACAAUUCUGAAGAUAACCUGUGACUGUCCACUUCUCCACUAUUGGUUUUUUUCUUAGUGGGUGAGCUGAGGAGGAGAGGGUGUGAGGUCUCUGGGUGCUUAGAGGCCUAUGGAGUUCAGAGAAAGCUAUGCUUUGAGGACCAAGGCACUCUAGUGCUUUUCCUAAGGGACAAUAUUUCUCAUCCUGUUGACACCAAAAAAAGAAUUCACGGAGGCUUUGAAGUUUGAAGUGGGCUGUGGUUAAAGGGUGAGAGUUUUACCUGUGGAGAGGGAAAGGUUUUCUAAGCAAAGGCAAUCUGUGGUGUAAGACUCAAUCUCAAGUGAGAGUGGUAAGAAAUCUUUAAAACCCAAAGUCAAUACGAAUGCUAUGUACAAGCCUGAAUGCGGAUGGAGGGAAGGACAAAGCAGAUAGGGAGAAAGCCCCGGAGAACACUUGUGUUCAGGCAAAAUGAAAGCCUAACCCAGGAGGCAGCCAUGGAAAUGGAGAAGGGAUCUUAGUUGAUCUGGGAUGGUUAAUUGAAAAUAGGAUCAAAUGCUACUUUUAAGCACCUCAAUGCCAAAUCACGCAUUACCUCAUCAGUCUCUGCAAAAAUUCCAUGAAAUGAGCAAACAAAAAACUGACCGGGCGUGGUGGUGCACGCCUUUAGUUCCAGCACUCUAGAGGCAGAAGCAGGCAGAUCUCUGAGAGUUCGAAGCCAACGUGUUCUACAGUGAGUCCAAGACAGCCUUGAAAAACAAAAAGAAAAAAACCUCCAUGAAAUAACUACCAUUAGUGUUUCCAUUUGAUCUAGAGCAAGGAAGGCUCAUGAAAAGCAGCCGGGUUCUAGGUGUCAGAGUCAGGAUCCAAACCCAAUCCAGACAGGGCAGGUGGGGCAUGCUUGGAGACUGGGACAAGUGGAUCACCAAAAGUUCAAAGACGUUUUGGGUUAUAUUGGAAGAUACUGUCUAGAAUAAAUAAAUAAAUAAGCC
rnacentral:lncRNA from 1 species